rnacentral:rRNA from 1 species
ACAGGGGGGAGGGGACCAAGAUGGUCAACCUGGCGCUCAACCCCGAGCGCAACACCUACUACAAUGGGACACACAUAUGGAAGGCCAUCUACGAGGAAAAC